GGUGAACGCUGGCGGUAGGCCUAACACAUGCAAGUCGAACGGCAGCACAAUAAGAGCUUGCUCUUACGGGUGGCGAGUGGCGGACGGGUGAGGAAUACAUCGGAAUCUACUUUUUCGUGGGGGAUAACGUAGGGAAACUUACGCUAAUACCGCAUACGACCUACGGGUGAAAGCAGGGGAUCUUCGGACCUUGCGCGAUUGAAUGAGCCGAUGUCGGAUUAGCUAGUUGGCGGGGUAAAGGCCCACCAAGGCGACGAUCCGUAGCUGGUCUGAGAGGAUGAUCAGCCACACUGGAACUGAGACACGGUCCAGACUCCUACGGGAGGCAGCAGUGGGGAAUAUUGGACAAUGGGCGCAAGCCUGAUCCAGCCAUACCGCGUGGGUGAAGAAGGCCUUCGGGUUGUAAAGCCCUUUUGUUGGGAAAGAAAAGCAGCAGGUUAAUACCCCGCUGUUCUGACGGUACCCAAAGAAUAAGCACCGGCUAACUUCGUG
rnacentral:rRNA from 1 species